rnacentral:rRNA from 1 species
GACAAACCGUGCGAACGUUGUUCGGAUUCACUGGGCUUAAAGGGCGCGUAGGCGGUCGACCAAGUCUGGGGUGAAAUCUUUCAGCUUAACUGGAAAACAGCCCCUGAUACUGCGAGUCUCGAGGGAGGUAGGGGCAUGUGGAACUUCCGGUGGAGCGGUGAAAUGCGUAGAUAUCGGAAGGAACGCCGGUGGCGAAAGCGACGUGCUGGACCUCUUCUGACGCUGAGGCGCGAAAGCUAGGGGAGCAAACGGG